UAUUAAGACAUAGCAAUUAUUUCCCAUUUUCUCUCCAUCUGUAUGUUAAAUAAUACUGUACAGUACUUGUACUUGUGUGUUUUAUUUAUUAGGCCCCACAGGCUUCAUCAGGUUAUACCUCAGCAAACAUUUCUGGUCUUAGCAUGUGUGCAUCAACCAGUGAUGUUACAAGUCCUGCAAAAAGGCCCAGGCUGAGUAUUUCAAUGUUUGAAAGAUCAAGGUAUGGUGGCAAACAUGUGGCAGAAGCAAAACCAAACUUGAAUGUCAAGAGGAAAGCUUUGCAAACAUCAAAGGUAUCUGAAGCAGGUCAGGAACUUCACCAUACACCUUCAGCCACUUGUACUUCCCAAAAGCCUGCUCCACCUCAGUCCCCUCAUCUUCAUCGGUCCAUUUGCCCAUCCUCCUCAUUCUUCCUUGCUCCACCACCUGCACAUACAGACUAUUGUUCCCCAGCUUUGGCACAGGGGUGCAGCAGGUUGACCCCUGAUCACAGGGUUGGCGGUUCAAUUCCCAUUCUUCCAAGUCAAAGUGUCCUUGUGCAUGACAAUGAACCUCUAGUCAUUCCAGAUGGCCAUGGCAGCUCUGCUUGCCAUUCACCACUUUUAACAAUAUAUACCCUCAGCAGUCACUUUAGGAACACCUGUAAAACUGAACAUGAUCAAAUUCAACAGCCCUUCCAUAACACCUGUCUUUAUGAAGCUCCUAAUUGUUUCAGCUUUUGGUGAAACUGUUUUGGAAGCGCAUACAUUCAGUUAUACUGUAUGUAUAUUAUUAAGUUCAUAGUGAAAGGUGUUAAUGUGUAUAUUCUUGCCCACUUUUGUAUGUAAAUGGGGAGGAUGAAAAUAGUCUCACCCCUGAAUAUAAACUGCAGUAAAUCAUAAAACAGCUCAUAUCACUGACAGAUUCACUCACUCCUGCUCUUACAACCUCUGUUAUCACAUGAGGCGGCUUUGACACAUUCCCUCAGGUUUAUGAACAGGAAAAAGCUUGACAUCUCAGUGUGUGAUAAAUUCUAAACAGUGGUUCUUGCCUAUAGAAUGUUCUGACAAUGCUGGAAAUAACUAGAACUUUGUUCUCAGCAGAGAACCACUGAAAAAAAUAAAUGACUGUGCUUCCACCUAGUGGCCAGUAGUAGGUUCUAACCACUUCCAACACCUCCAUUAUGUGUAGAUGUGCUUAGGAACAUUUUAUAUGCUAAGUACAAGAAACCUGACAUUAAUAAUAAUGAAUAAAUAACCAUAAAAUCUUAUUAAUGUAAAAGUUUAUUUCAAAUACUGACAAAAAACCUCUCAUCUACUCCCACACAUCUGAAACAUUCCAAGUACUCCUGUACUUUCUAAAGUCUUAAAAUCAUUCCUGUGUUCUCCAGUUAUUCUCUUUAUCAAGUAAACCCUUAUUUUUCUUGGAAGCAAGGGUGCCUCUGAUUUCCCUGCAGUUAUCUUGGGCCAGGAUGAUAUAUAGUAAUUAUGCAAUAAGAGAACAAGAAACAUGAACUUGUAAAAUAAAAAGAAAACAGAUAAGGUAAAAGCAGCACAAAAGUACUUCAGAGUACACAGCCUGUCAUUUCUUUAUACAUUCUGGCACAUGUUUAUCAAAGCUGAACGAGAGAAACCCUGUGAGUUGGGUUUGAAACAUACCCUGUAAUUUCCUCUCGCUGAACUGCUCCGUGCAAAGCCAACCAUCAAGUAGCAUUCAAAGGUCCUGUCCACUGUUCACAGAACAUGUCAUCUGCCCAUUUCUUUUAGCAAUCUUUACUUCUUAAAGGACAAAAAAUGUAGACUUUUAAACACAAGAUGCUAAACGGUCUGUUGUCAGUCCAGUGACUUUUCUUUAAAGCUAUGGCCAGAUCAAAAGUUGAAUCCAAGUCAACAAAAAUUCUUUAAAAUGCAGCGACAGAAUCUGCAUCAAAGUUUACCACAGUCUGAAACUGAAUCGACUUUGCAACAGGAGCCAUAGGACUCGAUUUGGGGAGAAGGGAGUUGGACUGGUAUAACCAAGAGCACAAGUGUUCUGUACAGGGUAUCGUCUCUUAGAUUUGUCUUUGACUGAAUCAGCAGCAUUUACACAUUUUCAUAUACCAAUUCAUGUAGCCUCUGCAAUACACCAAGAUAGAGCAGAAGUAGUGUUAGACUGAAACAAGAGAGAGGAACCAUUAAAUCAGAAAUAGCUAAAGACUAUGAAAGAAUGAAAAGCAGGUGGGAAAACCACAGAAAUCCCUUCCUGUAGAAGUCUGUUUACAAUGGCAGGAACAGAGAAAAGGAGUGCAUUCAUACAACACCGUGGCAAGCACAUACAUACAGGUCAGUUCUCUUUCAUCCACUGCAAAUUUGACACAUUUUAAAGUUUCAAUGAAAAACAAGUGAGGUUAAGAAUGUGAUGGUGCAUGCACCCUAUCACCUAGACUACAUGGUGUGCAUUCCCUGAAGCAGUAUUGUACAAGGAGGCUGAUUCCCAGUGAGCGCCAGCAUCCAGUUCAGAUUCUUGACGGCACACAUUCAAAGUCUGCAGAUUUGGUGAUCGCUCCAUUGAGCUGAUCAGAACAAGCGGGACUUGAGUGUAGAGCACACAGUCGCACUUUGCCCCCUCACCAUGUGUUAUAAAACCUCUCUCUGCUUUGCCAAGUGUUAGAGCGAGUGCUUUCUGCAGGCAAGCGGUGUCCCACUUCAAGCCUGCGAUGACAAUCUUGGAAGCUGGACUAACACCUGUUGUCAGGCUGCCUACUGUUUACCUUCUGACACCCCUGAGAUCAAAGAUCAGUGAUGGUGUUUCAAUUUGCUAUGGGAGGGGGGCAUUCUUCUACAGGAUGCUGGUAGCAGGAGCAGGUCUAUAUACCAGCUAAGGUUUUAAAAAGUUAGGCUGUAGUAAUCUUUAACCAAGUUAGUGUUUCACUGCAUGAGUAGCCGAAGAGGGUAAGAUGUCAAGGGAACCACUAUAUCAAGAUAAUCUCCCACAAAAAAAGAGAAAUAUGAUUUUUUUUUUUUUUUUUUUAAUCCUUUAAACACAGCAAGUAGUCGUCAUUCUUUUGGUCGGUCCCAAAUAUGUGAAAACAAUUGCACAUGCACCACUGCAGGGCACAACUGUGAAGGCUACGACUGUGGUUACUUCUGUCCUUUUAAUGUGACCUUUGAGCAGAGAUAUUGAAAUGCUAACUUUUAGCAAUGCUUCAAUCGUGGUUGCAUCACUGUUCACAUCUCCAUGAGAUCCGAACAUUGUGUGAGGCAGAACUAGCCUGGGCUGCAGUUUGACUCAUCUCAUCACGGCGUGAGCCACAUGGCUAGAUGGUACCAGUUACAUUGGAAAGACAAGUAUACGCACCAUCUCUGAGCCUGAUAGCUGGCUGGUCUGGCCCUCAGAGCACAGUUUUGAGUAUUAUUAACAGAAACAUUUAUUCUAUAUGGAGUUUCUUCAAUUCCCCCCACAAAUCUUUUAGGUUCAUAGUAAACAUGUUUUGAUGCAACUCAACAGCCACCAAACUAAGACUGAACUCAGAGAUUGGUGGGGUUCCUGGUCGUUGAAAAUAAUACAAGGGUUAUACCCAGCUGGCUCUUGCCCUGGGCUAUGAACAACAGCGGGUGUACAAAGAUUGUCAGGACAGCAAAAAUGAAAGGAAGGAGGAAAGUGUGACUGUGGACACGUCAGCUUAGUUUGAAUACUUCCAAUAAUUAAGACGACCCACUUCCAUAAAAAAACCAAACAUGUUAAACAUCUUUUUUGUUACAAUCAUGCAGCAUAUUUAGAGAGAACAAGAGCAAAGGGAGUCAAGAGAUAAAGCAACAUGAGCAGAGAGACAGAAAGUGACUUUUAAACCCCUGUUUGAACCAUGCAGGAGAUGACCUUAGGUUUUGUUUGAUGAAAGGUGACCGAACGGUGAGAUGAAAAGUAGCUCGCAUUCACUUACUCUAUUUCCCCUAUGGAGUCAAUGAACAGAAAGGGGAACAAAAUGCCCAAAGAACACUGUGAUCAUGGUUCCUAACUCCCUUACACACAUUAUUUUGGUGUCAUUCAGGAUGCAAAAAAAACAAAAAAAAAAC